AGUGAACGCUGGCGGUAGGCCUAACACAUGCAAGUCGAACGGCAGCACAGUAAGAGCUUGCUCUUACGGGUGGCGAGUGGCGGACGGGUGAGGAAUACAUCGGAAUCUACUUUUUCGUGGGGGAUAACGUAGGGAAACUUACGCUAAUACCGCAUACGACCUACGGGUGAAAGCAGGGGAUCUUCGGACCUUGCGCGAUUGAAUGAGCCGAUGUCGGAUUAGCUAGUUGGCGGGGUAAAGGCCCACCAAGGCGACGAUCGGUAGCUGGCCUGAGAGGAUGAUCAGCCAGACGGGAACUGAGACACGGUCCAGACUCCGACGGGAGGAAGCAGUGGGGAAUAUUGGACAAUGGGCGAAAGCCUGAUCCAGCCAUACCGCGUGGGUGAAGAAGGCCUUCGGGUUGUAAAGCCCUUUUGUUGGGAAAGAAAAGCAGCAGGUUAAUACCCCGCUGUUCUGACGGUACCCAAAGAAUAAGCACCGGCUAACUUCGUG
rnacentral:rRNA from 1 species